rnacentral:misc_RNA from 1 species
GUUCCAAAGAAAAGAAUCCAAUCUACAACCUCUCGUUUACAAGUCUCGAGUUCUUUCAUUAAAAGUGCUUCUAACAGUGAUCGUAAUUUGUGAAAUUGUAUAAUUAUUCCAAUUACAAUAUUUAUAUUGACCUAUAUGAUAUGAAAGUGUACAUGGGAGGAAACAAUGUAAAUCAUGAGUGUAUUUGAUCAAAACAAAGUUUGUUAGUGAGAUGAAACGGACACUUUUCAUUUUGUGACCUUUUACAUCCUCCAAAUCUGCUGUGCAUCAAUAUGGAUACUAAACGGCACAAUUCAAUACGGUAGCCGAUCGGCAAGCCUUUGAAUGUGGUUAACUAGUUGGUGCUAUAAGUUUUACAAUGGGGCCGCAAAAAGGCCCCGCCAUAAAAUUAUUAGAGCCGCUUUAGACCGUCAUAAAACGAUUAUACAAUUCGUUAAUGACAUCGUUAGGUAAAAUAGGUUCGUCAGGAGAUGUCGAUGAGGCCUCUGUGCACAGGCUGGUCGUCGAGCGAUGGUCGGGCUGAAAGCGAUGCCAGGUGGAGUCGUGCUCGGUCCUCUGGAGGAUCGCGUGAGCGUCUCGGCGGGUUCAGCUAGUGAGCAGCCGGCUGUCGCGGCGUGUGAUGUGCGUGCGCGAUGUCAAGCAAGCCCGCGAGUGUGGGCGCGUGCGGGGCGGCAGGCGUGGCGGGCGCCGGCAACCCGCGCGUGCUGGUCUACGUGGCGGACCGCCCGCGCCAGCUAGAGCCCGGCGCCGCGCCCCCGGAACCGCAGCCGCCCGACCUUCUCUACCUUCCUGACAAUCUACCCCACCAAGUUCCCAGAAAUCCUAUCUACAGACCCCAAAUAGAACAAAACGACUUGAGGAAUUCAUCAGGGGCAAUCUUCUACAAAGCUGGUAAUGAUGCUGAAGGGAAAAUUGGUGUCUAUGGCACGAGUGAGAAUCCUGGUCACCGGACUGAUUAUUUACCUGUAUCACAACAAUUUGUUGAAGAGCCUUGUUUGAAAACUGAUGACAAAUUGAGUGACCGUUUAUGUGGUGUUAAUGUUAAGAGGGACUCAACUAACCAAGUGAGUGUGGACUUAAAUAGUGUAGACACUUUAAAUGCAAGGACACCUGCAGAAUCUGCAGAAUUAUUGUUAUAUCAGAGAAGAGGCUCUGUGUCCGUGGGUGCAGAGAGUGUUAUGCCUAUGCACCCUCUUGCACUGCGUCAUGGGCAGGGUCAAUUUAAUGAUAAUGUUACAAUACAGAGUGGUGAAAUAGUAAACAGUGGUGAAGGAGAAGUGGCAAUUGGCAGGAGUUAUGUGAACUAUCAAUUGUUAGAACAGAGUGUGUCUCAUCAAUCUAUAGUCAAUCAAAGUAUUAGUAUACUGAAUCAACAAGUAGGUGUGAGCCGAGUGGUGGGUGAGAGUGACAGUGGAAGUAGUGCACAGCUUGUCCGCACAGCGGAUGGGGUUGUGUUGGCAGUUUUGCCUUCAUCAGUGCUGCCUCAAGCUGCUGACUCAGAACCCAAGAGUGUUCAAAGUGAAACCCCACAAACUAUAGUUGUGCCCUUAGGCUGGAGAAGGAUAGUGAAUGGAGCAUCAGUACUUUACAUUAGCCCUAGCGGUACGGCGCUUAGUGCACUGCCACAGCUUCGGGAAUACCUACAGACAGCCGGUACCUGCAAAUGUGGAUUACCGUGUCCGCUUAGACCGGAGACAGCCUUCAGCUUCGAUCCUAAGGUCAUAAGCAAGCCGUACCAGCCGUCAUCUGGUGCGGAAUUGACGAAGCUGUGCAACCACAAGCGGAAACUGCUGGCGACGCUACAAGCGCGCGCGCAGUCGCCUGCGACGCCGCCGCCCAAUCACACCGAACAAAAGAAAGUGGCUGGUGCGGAGGUCGCCGUUUUGAAGAAGAAAAUGAAGAAGCGAACCGGCUUCCCGCCAAACAUGAGUGUGUCUCAGAUGAUGAUGCAAAGGGAAAGACCUUUCAAUGAUUUAAAGUCUCAAGACAUCGAUCAUAACAGGACUGCGUCGCCAGGAGUGGGCCCCCAACGGAAUAACGUACAACCUAACGUGCCCUUCGCACCCAUGCAGCAAAACCUUCCGAUUGCACCUCAGGAUGAUGUCAAACAGGAGACACAAGUGCAAAGGAGUUCCCACUACCUCACCGUGAGCAGUGGCUGGAUCACUCAACAACAACAAGAGAAUCUCGACCGACAAAGAACUCAACAGCCCCCAGUCCCGGCUACUCCACCUGUCAACGUAGGCUUGCCAGUACUAGGUACUAAUGGACAAAUCAUAGGCGUCAACACAGGGUACAACAAACAAAACCCAAGUUUCAAAAAUGUGAGCGUUAUCCCUCAAAACAUUGUUGAUCAAGCUCACAAAGACGAAAAGAAAGAAAUGAACCAUCAGAGCAAUGCCUCCAAAUACCCCGGCAAAGAAGAAGAGUCCCAAAUAUUUUGCGGAUUGAAUCAACCGUUGACACCGGAAGUCAUGCAAAAAAUUAACGAACAACAGCAAAUAUUUAUACAACAAAACCAAAAACAGAUUGAAUUAGCUAUGAAAGGUUUUAGAACACAACUGGCCGAUAAUGUUAGUCAAAAUAGACCACAGAAUCAGCCUCAGUAUGUGCCUCAAGGUCAACUGGUUAUACAAAAUGGUGCGGUUGUAAAAACGAAUCCGGCUAAAACUCCGCCUUGGCAAGUGAAAAGAAACGACUCUAAUGCUCCUAUUGUUAGCCCCACUCCAAAGCAGCAGAAAAUGGAAAAUGUUGAUUAUGAGGAGUCAAACACAAAUAUAUCAGAUGAUUCCACAGGUUCUUAUGGUUCCUUUACUAAUAACGAACACGCCAUGAAUCAAGCCAUGUGUUCCCGUGUGCCUCCGUUGCCACAGCAUUACAAUAUGCUAAGUCAGCAGUGGCCAAGUGUCGACGUUAGCAAGAAAAAGCUCAAAAACAAUAGCAAAGGGUCUAAAAAGAAGGCAGGAUCUACCGAGAGCAAAGGGAUGGCCUUCGGUAACAACGGCACGAGGAUUGUCCAAGACGUCAAAGGGGAUGACGUCACAAACAGUAACGUGCCGUCUUUCAUGGACGACCCUAACGGGUAUUUAGCACAGCAAACUGUUUUGUUGAAUAAUACAAUUUCAAGACAAGUAGGAAUGAAUUCUUCUCUAGAUAAUAAUCAAUUUGACAAUUGCAAUAAUUGCUUCAAUCCUCAAAAUCAGGGAGAUAAAAUGUGUAAACCAAAUACAAAAUCUGAAAUGAACUAUAGGGGUAACGUAGUUCCUAAUCCUUCGCCUUCUCCACAUAACACACCAGACAGCAGUGUUUUACUGGAGAAAAAUAUUGAAAAUCUUCCCCAUUGUUAUAAAGGGCAUAUGCCAAUGAAAAACAGCACAGAUUUUGUUGACAAUCAAAUGAGGCUAAAAUAUAUGAAACAUAAUCUGUAUAAACCUGAAAUGGAGAGUAAUAUUGCUACAUCUAGUCCUAAACAUAGUUUCGAAGAUAAUCCCGUGACGUCGUCAACAUUUAUUGAGCGUAGUCCGAUCGUAAACGAUAACUGUGGCCCGAUUCAAGCAGGAACCGUGAGCACGAGUAACGUGUCGCCCACAGAGACGUUGCAACCGCCAGAACCUUCUCCCACGUUGUCUAACAGUUCCCGAAGUACUGACACUCCGCACAGCAACGGUAGUGGUAGCUCACAAAUGCCCAAUUGUACAUUCCCUAUGCCGAGUCCGGCGUAUUCUAAUUCAUCUUCCUUUAGAGAAAAUUUUAAUAGUAAUCCACCGACGCCUGGUAGCAGCCAAGCUUACCAUUUUAAUUCUCCUGGACCGCCUAGUAAUCAGACGAUAACCGGGACACAAAUGAUGCAUUUCAUAUCAAAUCACAAUGUAAAUAAAAAUCUAAUGGAGGUAGAUAACAUAUCAAUGGUAGGUGUAAAGCCUGGCUUGAAACCUCCACACGAAUUAUUUAGAGCCGAUCGAAGAAGAUUGGAAAAUGCUAUGCCGGGAUAUUGCCCUCCCCCUCACUUGGGAGGCGGUCCCGCACAUUCUCUAAUACAAGCGUGUUAUGUACAAACAUUCGUGACAACAAUGGCCAGUGGAUUUUCUGUUACUCGCGAUACGAUGACUUCAGUAUUAGCGGGUAAAGCGAACACCGCCACAACUUCAAUCAACGCCUCCCAAGCAAACUUUGUCCGACCUCCCCCUCCGCCUAGUGUCAAUUUAGCGACCAGUUACGCCAUCCCAAACAAUCAGCCCGAUCCAUUCAUAAACUCGGUCAAUUUACCGACAAGUUACCCACUGCACAUAGCCGGAACUACAGCGCAAAACAUGAUAUCAAAAUCACCUUUAGAAAUGGUUCAAAACGUUAUAGGCAGCUUACCUUCUAAAUUGGAGCCGAACAAUUCUCAACCCGUACGAAGAGCAAUGGCCACCACUCCAGGGCAGAUCCUUAUAUCAUCAACCGGGCAAAUAAUCGUGUCUAAUAAUCAGAUGCCACCACCACCACCAAAGACAACAACGGCAGUAUCUCCAGGACAUAGCUCUGGUAUGGUAACGAAUGUUACUACAUCUAUAACACAGGUUGUCCCGGGGGUUGGAAGCGUGCAACCUAUUGUGAACCAACCCACUGUCGUCGUCAACACCUUGCCGACUCCAUUCGUUUUCCAACCUCCUAUGAUGGCCGUCGACGGUCAAGUAGUUCAACCAAAUGCUGUCCUGCCGCAAAUUGUGGCAGGGGGAAUCGUGCCCGGCCAGUCUCCGAGCGAAAGUCAGCGACCGAUGGACGUUAAAAAUGGACAAAAUUACGUACAAGGAGUGGCUAUGCUGUCUCCCGAAAGUCUCAAAAAGAGAAGUAAGAAAAAGAAAAAUCAGCCUAACAUCACGAACGUUUUACAAAUUGCGGCACCGCCACAAAAUCCUAAUAAUCUGAUGGUUCAUCAUACGUCCCCGCAGCAUAACACUAGCCCCCAGUUUUCGCCGCGGGGUUUCCAAUUGUCGCCUAAUAAUAAUAUUUCUCCGACGCCGGUACUGCAAGCUUUAACUAUUGUUCCUGGAAAAUCUGGCACUCCGGCUCAUAUAGUCAUGAAUGGCCAAGGAAAUGCCAAUAACUUUGGAUCUCAACAAAUAAUCACGAAUACGUCACCAUCACAACAAAUUAAUUUACUGCAACCAGUAAACCUGAUAAAUAAUGCAAGCAGUGUGAUGCAGAAUUUCCCAGCAUUCCAACAGUUUAUUGUGCCAAAUCUCGGCGGAAUGGUUAUGACAGCGGACGGCACGGCUAUAAUACAGGACAAUUCGACGGGAAUGCCGGUUCAGUUGCAAUUACAAACCGUGAACGGUCAAAAUGUGCUGACGCCGGUGCAAAAUCCUGGAGUGUUCGCUGCCGGCGCCAACGGUGGUGUAGUUAUCAGAGCUCAAAAUCAACAAGGGAAGAUAAUACAAUCACAACACAGUCCAGGGGCUCAGUUUUUGUCCCCUAAUAAUCAAAUGAUGAUGAACAGUCCCGGAUUCAAUGGUCAAUUAAGUCCUUUACUAGCUAACUUGAGUCCAACAAACGUGGCAUUCAAUACGAGUUCCCAAGUGAGAUCGAGUAACGUGCAAGCUCAAGAGUUCAUUCAGACCAAUCAAAUGGGACAAACGUUAAUGGUGCCGCUAUCGCCGAAGCAAGUGUCUAUAGCGGCAACUAACAACAGGAGUAAUUCUACGUUCGUGCAGCAAAAUACUACUAUAGUCCAGCAGCAGACGACUCUGGUGUCUAACUCUCACAACACUCACACGUCGAUUACUACGAAUUUGCAAGGGGGGAACGCUCCGCGGUUGUUAGACGGGGGCGCGUCGCUCGCGCUGAAGCAGCACGCGAAGGCGAAGAGUUACAAUUAUAUGCAAGAGCUCGCCGAUGAGACGAAAGAGGACAAGUUUAACGAGGAGAUUAAGUCGGAGGAGGGGAAGUUUAUGGAGUUUCCGGCGGGCGGGUUCAACUACGUGCGGCACUCUGUAUCCACGCAGACGCUGGUGAACCAGCGCAAGUCGCCGCUGGUGGCGGGCGCGGGCUCGCCGCCCGACACCACGACGCUGAGCCCGCUGGGCGCGCUGGAGCCCGCGCGCCCGCCGCCGCCGCACUACGCCGACACCACCACGAGCUCGCCCGAGCCCGAUAAUAACUCCUCGGCUAUGGUCCAAUGUGUUUCAAGUAGCGAGCAAGACAUGGCGGAGUCUCGAGAACAAGUGUGGCCUGCCGCUCGGAACGAAUUCCAUUCUGAUACUGAAACACAUGGCUUGAUGUCAAACGUGCCCCUGGUGCGUCAGUCCCGCUCGCACAAUCCGGUCGAGUCUACCGAAAUGCACUACAACCAAAACAUGAACGCGGCCGCCAACAACAAUCAGCACGUCAUGCCAGUCUCGUCCAACUACUACGACAGAACACACGGUUACAAGCGGAAGAAUGAUUUCGGGGACGGAUCAUCUUACAGGACAGACAAAAUCAUGAGAACUAACUACAACAUGGUCCAUGCCAUGCCGAAAGAUUCAGAUUACGACAACAUGGGUAUUACUUCGGAUAAAAUUCAAGCCAGGCACUUCCCAUCUUCAGGGAGUAACAUGGAUAAUGCUUCAAUGCAAAAAGUAUAUGACAGACGUAAUUUAGGUUCUGGCGACGCUUCUACAUAAUGCGAUACUAUUGGUCAUUGGUUUUCUUUUGGUUGGGUUAAUACAAGAUACAGCUGUUAAUAAAGGGUGUACUGGAAACUAAUCAGAACUAAAGAGAUGUGCAGCGUUCAAAUGAUCUCACCCCGGCUUUCUGUCGCUUUCCAUUGCACCACAUUCGAAGUAACAAAAUUGGCUCACAAAUUGGGAUUACAUUACUAACGCAUCAUUGUAAAGCCAUCAUCAUAUCAUCUGUCCAUCAUUAUGGUCAACAGCCGGCCGAGGCGGACGGCGAGGCGGAGGCGGAGGCGGAG